rnacentral:rRNA from 1 species
UUAAGCGACUAAGCGUACACGGUGGAUGCCCUGGCAGUCAGAGGCGAUGAAGGACGUGCUAAUCUGCGAAAAGCGUCGGUAAGGUGAUAUGAACCGUUAUAACCGGCGAUGUCCGAAUGGGGAAACCCAGUGCAAUUCGUUGCACUAUCGUUAACUGAAUACAUAGGUUAACGAGGCGAACCGGGGGAACUGAAACAUCUAAGUACCCCGAGGAAAAGAAAUCAACCGAGAUUCCCCCAGUAGCGGCGAGCGAACGGGGAGCAGCCCAGAGUCUGAAUCAGCUUGUGUGUUAGUGGAACGGUCUGGAAAGUCCGACGGUACAGGGUGAUAGUCCCGUACACCAAAAUGCACAGGCUGUGAACUCGAAGAGUAGGGCGGGACACGUGGUAUCCUGUCUGAAUAUGGGGGGACCAUCCUCCAAGGCUAAAUACUCCUGACUGACCGAUAGUGAACCAGUACCGUGAGGGAAAGGCGAAAAGAACCCCGGCGAGGGGAGUGAAAAAGAACCUGAAACCGUGUACGUACAAGCAGUGGGAGCACCUUCGGGUGUGACUGCGUACCUUUUGUAUAAUGGGUCAGCGACUUAUAUUCUGUAGCAAGGUUAACCGUAUAGGGGAGCCGCAGGGAAACCGAGUCUUAACUGGGCGUUAAGUUGCAGGGUAUAGACCCGAAACCCGGUGAUCUAGCCAUGGGCAGGUUGAAGGUUGGGUAACACUAACUGGAGGACCGAACCGACUAAUGUUGAAAAAUUAGCGGAUGACUUGUGGCUGGGGGUGAAAGGCCAAUCAAACCGGGAGAUAGCUGGUUCUCCCCGAAAGCUAUUUAGGUAGCGCCUCGUGAAUUCAUCUUCGGGGGUAGAGCACUGUUUCGGCUAGGGGGUCAUCCCGACUUACCAACCCGAUGCAAACUACGAAUACCGAAGAAUGUUAUCACGGGAGACACACGGCGGGUGCUAACGUCCGUCGUGAAGAGGGAAACAACCCAGACCGCCAGCUAAGGUCCCAAAGUCAUGGUUAAGUGGGAAACGAUGUGGGAAGGCACAGACAGCCAGGAUGUUGGCUUAGAAGCAGCCAUCAUUUAAAGAAAGCGUAAUAGCUCACUGGUCGAGUCGGCCUGCGCGGAAGAUGUAACGGGGCUAAACCAUGCACCGAAGCUGCGGCAGCGACACUAUGUGUUGUUGGGUAGGGGAGCGUUCUGUAAGCCUGCGAAGGUGUGCUGUGAGGCAUGCUGGAGGUAUCAGAAGUGCGAAUGCUGACAUAAGUAACGAUAAAGCGGGUGAAAAGCCCGCUCGCCGGAAGACCAAGGGUUCCUGUCCAACGUUAAUCGGGGCAGGGUGAGUCGACCCCUAAGGCGAGGCCGAAAGGCGUAGUCGAUGGGAAACAGGUUAAUAUUCCUGUACUUGGUGUUACUGCGAAGGGGGGACGGAGAAGGCUAUGUUAGCCGGGCGACGGUUGUCCCGGUUUAAGCAUGUAGGCUGGUUGUCCAGGCAAAUCCGGAUAAUCAAGGCUGAGGUGUGAUGACGAGGCACUACGGUGCUGAAGUAACAAAUGCCCUGCUUCCAGGAAAAGCCUCUAAGCAUCAGGUAACAUNAAAUCGUACCCCAAACCGACACAGGUGGUCAGGUAGAGAAUACCAAGGCGCUUGAGAGAACUCGGGUGAAGGAACUAGGCAAAAUGGUGCCGUAACUUCGGGAGAAGGCACGCUGGUGUGUAGGUGAAGUCCCUGCGGAUGGAGCUGAGACCAGUCGAAGAUACCAGCUGGCUGCAACUGUUUAUUAAAAACACAGCACUGUGCAAACACGAAAGUGGACGUAUACGGUGUGACGCCUGCCCGGUGCCGGAAGGUUAAUUGAUGGGGUUAUCCGUAAGGAGAAGCUCUUGAUCGAAGCCCCGGUAAACGGCGGCCGUAACUAUAACGGUCCUAAGGUAGCGAAAUUCCUUGUCGGGUAAGUUCCGACCUGCACGAAUGGCGUAAUGAUGGCCAGGCUGUCUCCACCCGAGACUCAGUGAAAUUGAACUCGCUGUGAAGAUGCAGUGUACCCGCGGCAAGACGGAAAGACCCCGUGAACCUUUACUAUAGCUUGACACUGAACAUUGAGCCUUGAUGUGUAGGAUAGGUGGGAGGCUUUGAAGCGUGGACGCCAGUCUGCGUGGAGCCAACCUUGAAAUACCACCCUUUAAUGUUUGAUGUUCUAACGUUGGCCCCUUACCGGGGUUGCGGACAGUGUCUGGUGGGUAGUUUGACUGGGGCGGUCUCCUCCCAAAGCGUAACGGAGGAGCACGAAGGUUAGCUAAUCCUGGUCGGACAUCAGGAGGUUAGUGCAAUGGCAUAAGCUAGCUUGACUGCGAGCGUGACGGCGCGAGCAGGUGCGAAAGCAGGUCAUAGUGAUCCGGUGGUUCUGAAUGGAAGGGCCAUCGCUCAACGGAUAAAAGGUACUCCGGGGAUAACAGGCUGAUACCGCCCAAGAGUUCAUAUCGACGGCGGUGUUUGGCACCUCGAUGUCGGCUCAUCACAUCCUGGGGCUGAAGUAGGUCCCAAGGGUAUGGCUGUUCGCCAUUUAAAGUGGUACGCGAGCUGGGUUUAGAACGUCGUGAGACAGUUCGGUCCCUAUCUGCCGUGGGCGCUGGAGAAUUGAGGGGGGCUGCUCCUAGUACGAGAGGACCGGAGUGGACGCAUCACUGGUGUUCGGGUUGUCAUGCCAAUGGCACUGCCCGGUAGCUAAAUGCGGAAGAGAUAAGUGCUGAAAGCAUCUAAGCACGAAACUUGCCCCGAGAUGAGUUCUCCCUGAGACUUUAAGUCUCCUGAAGGAACGUUGAAGACGACGACGUUGAUAGGCCGGGUGUGUAAGCGCAGCGAUGCGUUGAGCUAACCGGUACUAAUGAACCGUGAGGCUUAACCUU